CGUAGAUGAUUUUUGUAACAGUAGUAUGAGCUACUGGUCAACAAGAAAAAGCUUAUGAAUUAAAUAAAAAAUGGAGCAAAGGGUAAAGCAAGAAACAAUGUGUCAUGUGUCAUUCCCAAAUGGAAUAGCUAAUUUUACAAACUACACGGUGUUCAAACCAGUUUCCAGGAUUUCCUCUCGGUUUAUCAGACGUUUUUCCAAUACGGAGUUAAUUCUCAUGCUUGUGGGCGUAACAGUCCUGUUCAUAUCACUCUCCCUGACUGUAUUCCAAUACAGGAAUAGUAAGCAGAAGGAGUCUCCUCCAAAACCAGAGAAUGCUGACUGGCAGGGAAUAUGGAGGGGUUUAGGAAAAAUCUUAGAAGCAUGGGGACCCGCAAUGUCAUGGGAUUUCACUCUUGAGCACCUGUGGGAUCCCCAGAAACUUAGCCAGUAUUUGAGACAGGAGCAGUGCGGCUUAGGUAAAUCUAAGGAGGUACAACUUAUUUGGGGUUUGGCUUGUGCUUACUGUGCCCUAUAUAAUACUGUUUUGGAGAGAGAGAGUUUCCGAGCUGAGGUUCAAGCCAAAGGGGAAGUCAAAUCUGAUCAAUUACAGGAGACACCAGUAACAAUAUCAGUUGCCCCUGUGGAGGGCAAGAAAUGGAAACGAGUGUCCUCGCGUCUAGAACGGAAAAAAGAAGAAGAGGAGGAGGAGGAGGUGGAGGAAGAUCCAGGUGAGGGGCCCUCCUCGAAACCACCAACAUCAAGAAAGGCAAAAGGAAAAACUAAGAGACAUGCAGAAGAGAGUGAUGAAGAGGAAGUUUCUAUUACUACUCGUCGGCCUCUGAAGAUGACUGAAAUCCAAGGCUCAAGAAAGGAAUUUACACGGCGCCCAAAUGAAGCUAUCGUUUCCUGGUUAGUUUGCUGUUGGGACGACGGGGCCAGUAGCUUGUCUCUAGUUGUUAAUGAAGCUCGCCAACUAGGAGCCAUUGCCAGAGAUCCAGCUAUUGACAGAGGAAUUAGUCGAUGUCUGGAUGGGGCUGCCUCCCUCUGGGAACGAGUAUUAACAGCAGUGAAGGAAAGGUACCCCUUCAAAAGCGGCUUGAAGCCUAUGACAAAAAGGUGGGAUACAAUUGAACAGGGUAUCCAGUAUUUGAGGGAAAUAGCCGUGGUGGAAAUGUUGUCUGACCCUAACUGUGUU
rnacentral:lncRNA from 1 species